rnacentral:rRNA from 1 species
AGUCUGGUGCCAGCAGCCGCGGUAAUUCCAGCUCCAAUAGCGUAUAUUAAAGUUGUUGCGGUUAAAAAGCUCGUAGUUGAAUUUGUGUUCCGCGCUGUCGGUUCACCGCCCGCGGUGUUUAACUGGCACGUCCGCGGAACGUCCUGCCGGUGGACGCGUAGACCCUGUAUGCUUCCCCAUUGUGCGUGUGCAACUUCGGUUGUUACUGUAUGAUGUGGUGGGGUUGCAGGCGCUUUACCGUCCGACUCAAUAAUCCUGUCGCGGUGCUCUUAAUUGAGUGUCGAGGCGGGCCGGCACGUUUACUUUGAACAAAUUAGAGUGCUCAAAGCAGGCUAAAAUUUCGCCUGAAUACUGUGUGCAUGGAAUAAUGGAACAGGACCUCGGUUCUAUUUUGUUGGUUUUCGGAACCCCGAGGUAAUGAUUAAUAGGGACAGAUGGGGGCAUUCGUAUUGCGACGUUAGAGGUGAAAUUCUUGGAUCGUCGCAAGACGGACAGAAGCGAAAGCAUUUGCCAAAAAUGUUUUCAUUAAUCAAGAACGAAAGUCAGAGGUUCGAAGGCGAUCAGAUACCGCCCUAGUUCUGACCAUAAACGAUGCCAGCUAGCGAUCCGCCGACGUUCCUCCGAUGACUCGGCGGGCAGCUUCCGGGAAACCAAAGCUUUUGGGUUCCGGGGGAAGUAUGGUUGCAAAGCUGAAACUUAAAGGAAUUGACGGAAGGGCACCACCAGGA